UAAAAAUACAAAAAUUAGCCUGGCCUAGUGGUGGAUGCCUAUAAUACCAGCUAUUCGCAAGGCUGAGGCACGAGAAUCGCUUGAACCCAGGAGGUGGAGGUUGCAGUGAGCCGAGAUUGAGCUACUGCAUUCCAGCCUGGGUGACAGAGCAAGACUCUGUCUCAAAAUAAAUAAAUAAAUGAAUAAAUAAAUACAAAAUGUGGCUUUAUGUGCCUAUACGCAGAAUCAAAAUUUGAUUGUUGAACAAAGAGAGUUUGAAAAGUUUUGCAAAUUAGGUCAAGUGUAGGAUUCCUGAAUCAGAACACAGUUGUUUUAAUUUUACUAUAUGGGUCAUUAGCAAGCUGUCUGGGAAAUAGAGGAGGUACUAAACUAAAAAUGUGUUGUCGGUUAGCUGACCAUUUAACUUAAUGACCAAACCAAGACAUGUUUAAGAGUGGAAGGAGACAGUGCGGACGGAUUACACUGGGACAACAGACAUAAACCUGGAGUAUUCCGGGGUUGCUAUUUUGUGUUCUGAAUUUGUGAAAAGCUUGAUUCUGACUACACAGUGCCAACAAAAACAAAGAUUUUUGUAUUUUUCAAUCAAUCUGCCUGUGUCUAGCAUUUUCAAUUGUUAUUGUCUUCACUUAUUUUUGAUAAUACACUUUUAGAACAUUAUUCAGCAUAAUGUAAUAUCAAGAUAACAUCUGAUUCAACCCAGGUAAAACUCACAGGAAAAAAAAAGUAAUUUGACCAGAAACAACCCCAAUUCAGGGAAAAAAAAAAAAUGGGUCCAAUGGCCAUCGCUCUGGUUUCUGUACACUGACUCCGGUUCAGCCACCUCCCUCCUCUGCCACGUUGCUGCUCCAAUGCUUGGUGACACCCAACAUGACUGUCUUUAUCUUCUACCCAAACAAAUCUUAGCUGAUGUCUAAAUCUGUAUUUUCACAACAUGUUGGCUCAUUACAUUUAUUGCAUUUUAAAUGAUAUUUAAACUUGAGGUAAAUAAUUUAAAAAGAAAAUAUCAAGGGCUUGGAAUGAAUAUCUUUAAAUAUAAUGCAGUCAGGUAGAUAUUUUUGCAAUGCUAGAUGACAUUAAUGUGGUGGCACUGAGUAACUGUCGACAAUUAGUCACAAGAUGGAGCAGAGGUCUUGGAAGAAAAUUACUCCCAGGUGACAAAAUAUUGAAAAUUCAAUUAUACUCUGUUUAUUAUGGGCUUACAUUAGCAACUAUAUUACUAAUGAAGACCUGGAUAAUAAACAAAUUAAUGGGAACACAGGGGAGAACUGUUAGAAUUAUUUUUUCCCCUUACAGUAUUCUACAAUAUUGAUUCCAAAAGCGUGCCAAAUGACAGCGCAAAUGUUGCUGAAGCAAUUCUUAACAUAAAUUAUGUGUAUAAGAACAUAUGACGAAUUCGAGUACUCAAGAUUAGGAAAAUAAUUUUAAUACAUAAUGACAAGAUGCAAUAAAUUUAAUGUUUAAAAUUUCCAGUUAUGCAAGUGUAUAAAUCAUUUAG
rnacentral:lncRNA from 10 species